UACGUAGGUUGCGAGCGUUAAUCGGAAUUACUGGGCGUAAAGCGUGCGCAGGCGGUAAGUUAAGUCUGAUGUGAAAGCCCCGGGCUCAACCUGGGAAUGGCAUUGGAAACUGGCUUGCUAGAGUGUGGCAGAGGGGGGUGGAAUUCCGCGUGUAGCAGUGAAAUGCGUAGAGAUGCGGAGGAACACCGAUGGCGAAGGCAGCCCCCUGGGCCAACACUGACGCUCAGGCACGAAAGCGUGGGGAGCAAACAGG
rnacentral:rRNA from 1 species